rnacentral:snoRNA from 2 species
ACUCGCAGUUGAAUAGGAUCUGUUUUAUAGGUUGUACAUCUGUAUCCUUGAUUACUAAGGCGACAGGAACCAAAGUCUGGUGGAUGAACUAUGACCGUUGUUAUCAGAGCGUGAUUAGCAGCUUCGUGGUCUCCGGUCAUUGUGGCAGUAGAUGAUCGUUCUCAGCCGCUGAUCAAGCUGGCUGGGGUGGUCACACAGUUGUCCGGCAGACA